CACGUAGGGGGCAAGCGUUGUCCGGAUUUAUUGGGCGUAAAGAGCUCGUAGGUGGCUGAGUAAGUCGGAUGUUAAAUCCCCAGGCUCAACCUGGGACACCACCCGAUACUGCUCUGGCUAGAGUCCGGUAGGGGAGCGUGGAAUUCCUGGUGUAGUGGUGAAAUGCGUAGAGAUCAGGCGGAACACCCGUAGCGAAGGCGGCCAGCUGGGCCGUCCCUGACACUGAGGCGCGAAGGCGUGGGGAGCGACGGG
rnacentral:rRNA from 1 species